UGGGGAAUAUUGGACAAUGGGCGAAAGCCUGAUCCAGCAAUGCCGCGUGAGUGAUGAAGGCCUUAGGGUUGUAAAGCUCUUUUACCCGGGAUGAUAAUGACAGUACCGGGAGAAUAAGCCCCGGCUAACUCCGUGCCAGCAGCCGCGGUAAUACGGAGGGGGCUAGCGUUGUUCGGAAUUACUGGGCGUAAAGCGCACGUAGGCGGCUUUGCAAGUCAGAGGUGAAAGCCCGGGGCUCAACCCCGGAAUUGCCUUUGAGACUGCAUCGCUAGAAUUGUGGAGAGGUAA
rnacentral:rRNA from 1 species